ACCAGACUCCUACGGGAGGCAGCAGUGGGGGAUAUUGCACAAUGGGGGAAACCCUGAUGCAGCGACGCCGCGUGGGCGAAGAAGUAUUUCGGUAUGUAAAGCCCUAUCAGCAGGGAAGAAGAAAUGACGGUACCUGAGUAAGAAGCACCGGCUAACUACGUGCCAGCAGCCGCGGUAAUACGUAGGGGGCAAGCGUUAUCCGGAUUUGCUGGGUGUAAAGGGAGCGUAGACGGCAGUGCAAGUCUGGAGUGAAAGGCGGGGGCUCAACCCCCGGACUGCUCUGGAAACUGUUCGGCUGGAGUGCAGGAGAGGUAAGUGGAAUUCCUAGUGUAGCGGUGAAAUGCGUAGAUAUUAGGAGGAACACCAGUGGCGAAGGCGGCUUACUGGACUGUAACUGACGUCGAGGCUCGAAAGCGUGGGGAGCAAACAGGAUUAGAUACCCGAGUACGG
rnacentral:rRNA from 1 species